rnacentral:tRNA from 1 species
GGGCGAUUAGCUCAGGGGGAGAGCACCGUCUUCACACGGCGGGGGUCACAAGUUCAAAUCUUGUAUCGCCCACCA